UACGUAGGGUGCAAGCGUUGUCCGGAAUUAUUGGGCGUAAAGAGCUCGUAGGCGGUCUGUCGCGUCUGCUGUGAAAACCUAGGGCUUAACCCUGGGCCUGCAGUGGGUACGGGCAGACUAGAGUGCGGUAGGGGCGACUGGAAUUCCUGGUGUAGCGGUGAAAUGCGCAGAUAUCAGGAGGAACACCGGUGGCGAAGGCGGGUCUCUGGGCCGUAACUGACGCUGAGGCACGAAAGCGUGGGUAGCAAACAGG
rnacentral:rRNA from 1 species